GGAGGGUGCGAGCGUUAAUCGGAAUUACUGGGCGUAAAGCGCACGUAGGCUGUUGUGUAAGUCAGGGGUGAAAUCCCACGGCUCAACCGUGGAACUGCCCUUGAUACUGCAUGACUGGAAUCCGGGAGAGGGUGGCGGAAUUCCAGGUGUAGGAGUGAAAUCCGUAGAUAUCUGGAGGAACAUCAGUGGCGAAGGCGGCCACCUGGACCGGUAUUGACGCUGAGGUGCGAAAGCGUGGGGACCAAA
rnacentral:rRNA from 1 species